UACGGAGGAUCCAAGCGUUAUCCGGAAUCAUUGGGUUUAAAGGGCCCGUAGGCGGUUUUGUAAGUCAGUGGUGAAAGCCCAUCGCUCAACGGUGGAACGGCCAUUGAUACUGCAAGACUUGAAUUAUUAGGAAGUAACUAGAAUAUGUAGUGUAGCGGUGAAAUGCUUAGAUAUUACAUGGAAUACCAAUUGCGAAGGCAGGUUACUACUAGUGGAUUGACGCUGAUGGACGAAAGCGUGGGGAGCGAACAGG
rnacentral:rRNA from 1 species